GAUGAACGCUGGCGGCGUGCCUAAUACAUGCAAGUCGGGCGAACGGACGAGAAGCUUGCUUCUCUGAUGUUAGCGGCGGACGGGUGAGUAACACGUGGAUAACCUACCUAUAAGACUGGGAUAACUUCGGGAAACCGGAGCUAAUACCGGAUGAUAUUUUGAACCGCAUGGUUCAAAAGUGAAAGACGGUCUUGCUGUCACUUAUAGAUGGAUCCGCGCUGCAUUAGCUAGUUGGUAAGGUAACGGCUUACCAAGGCAACGAUGCAUAGCCGACCUGAGAGGGUGAUCGGCCACACUGGAACUGAGACACGGUCCAGACUCCUACGGGAGGCAGCAGUAGGGAAUCUUCCGCAAUGGGCGAAAGCCUGACGGAGCAACGCCGCGUGAGUGAUGAAGGUCUUCGGAUCGUAAACCUCUGUUAUUAGGGAAGAACAUAUGUGUAAGUAACUGUGCACAUCUUGACGGUACCUAAUCAGAAAGCCACGGCUAACUACGUG
rnacentral:rRNA from 1 species